rfam:Rattus norvegicus chromosome 14, whole genome shotgun sequence.
GGGGAUUUAGCUCAGUGGCAGAGCACUUGCCUAGCAAGCACAAGGCCCUGGGUUCGGUCCCCAGCUCCG